rnacentral:rRNA from 1 species
GUGCUUAACACAUGCAAGUCGAGCGAUGAAGCUUCUUCGGAAGUGGAUUAGCGGCGGACGGGUGAGUAACACGUGGGUAACCUGCCUUAUAGAGGGGAAUAGCCUUUCGAAAGGAAGAUUAAUACCGCAUAAGAUUGUAAUGUCGCAUGACAUAGCAAUUAAAGGAGUAAUCCGCUAUGAGAUGGACCCGCGUCGCAUUAGCUAGUUGGUGAGGUAACGGCUCACCAAGGCGACGAUGCGUAGCCGACCUGAGAGGGUGAUCGGCCACAUUGGGACUGAGACACGGCCCAGACUCCUACGGGAGGCAGCAGCGGGGAAUAUUGCACAAUGGGGGAAACCCUGAUGCAGCAACGCCGCGUGAGUGAUGACGGUCUUCGGAUUGUAAAGCUCUGUCUUUAGGGACGAUAAUGACGGUACCUAAGGAGGAAGCCACGGCUAACUACGUGCCAGCAGCCGCGGUAAUACGUAGGUGGCAAGCGUUGUCCGGAUUUACUGGGCGUAAAGGGAGCGUAGGUGGAUAUUUAAGUGGGAUGUGAAAUACCCGGGCUUAACCUGGGUGCUGCAUUCCAAACUGGAUAUCUAGAGUGCAGGAGAGGAAAGGAGAAUUCCUAGUGUAGCGGUGAAAUGCGUAGAGAUUAGGAAGAAUACCAGUGGCGAAGGCGCCUUUCUGGACUGUAACUGA